rnacentral:rRNA from 1 species
AUGAACGCUGGCGGCGUGCCUAAUACAUGCAAGUCGAGCGAACAGACGAGGAGCUUGCUCCUCUGACGUUAGCGGCGGACGGGUGAGUAACACGUGGAUAACUUACCUAUAAGACUGGGAUAACUUCGGGAAACCGGAGCUAAUACCGGAUAAUAUAUUGAACCGCUUGGUUCAAUAGUGAAAGACGGUUUUGCUGUCACUUAUAGAUGGAUCCGCGCCGCAUUAGCUAGUUGGUAAGGUAACGGCUUACCAAGGCAACGAUGCGUAGCCGACCUGAGAGGGUGAUCGGCCACACGGGAACUGAGACACGGUCCAGACUCCUACGGGAGGCAGCAGUAGGGAAUCUGCCGCAAAGGGCGAAAGCCUGACAGAGCAACGCCGCGUGAGUGAUGAAGGUCUUCGGAUCGUAAAACUCUGUUAUUAGGGAAGAACAAAUGUGUAAGUAACUAUGCACGUCUUGACGGUACCUAAUCAGAAAGCCACGGCUAACUACGUG